rnacentral:rRNA from 1 species
GACGAACGCUGGCGGCGUGCCUAAUACAUGCAAGUCGAGCGAGCGGAACUAACAGAUUUACUUCGGUAAUGACGUUAGGAAAGCGAGCGGCGGAUGGGUGAGUAACACGUGGGGAACCUGCCCCAUAGUCUGGGAUACCACUUGGAAACAGGUGCUAAUACCGGAUAAGAAAGCAGAUCGCAUGAUCAGCUUUUAAAAGGCGGCGUAAGCUGUCGCUAUGGGAUGGCCCCGCGGUGCAUUAGCUAGUUGGUAAGGUAAAGGCUUACCAAGGCGAUGAUGCAUAGCCGAGUCGAGAGACUGAUCGGCCACAUUGGGACUGAGACACGGCCCAAACUCCUACGGGAGGCAGCAGUAGGGAAUCUUCCACAAUGGACGCAAGUCUGGUGGAGCAACGCCGCGUGAGUGAAGAAGGUUUUCGGAUCGUAAAGCUCUGUUGUUGGUGAAGAAGGAUAGAGGUAGUAACUGGCCUUUAUUUGACGGUAAUCAACCAGAAAGUCACGGCUAACUACGUG